rnacentral:misc_RNA from 1 species
GAUGAAGAACGCAGCGAAAUGCGAUAAGUAAUGUGAAUUGCAGAAUUCAGUGAAUCAUCGAAUCUUUGAACGCACAUUGCGCCCGCCAGUAUUCUGGCGGCCAUGCCUGUUCGAGCGUCAUUUCAACCAUCAAGCCCCGGGCUUGUGUUGGGGACCUGCGGCUGCCGCAGGCCCUGAAAUGCAGUGGCGGGCUCGCUGUCACUCCGAGCGUAGUAGUUACAUCUCGCUCUGGGCGUGCUGCGGGUUCCGGCCGUUAAAAGCCUUAUUUACCCAAGGUUGACCUCGGAUCAGGUAGGAAGACCCGCUGAACUUAAGCAUAUCAAUAAGCGGAGGA